GAUGAACGCUAGCGGCAGGCUUAACACAUGCAAGUCGAGGGGUAUGCCGAUUUAUCGGCAGAGACCGGCGCACGGGUGCGUAACGCGUAUGCAAUCUACCUUUCACAGAGGGAUAGCCCAGAGAAAUUUGGAUUAAUACCUCAUAGUAUAGCAGUUUCGCAUGAAACCACUAUUAAAGUUCCAACGGUGAAAGAUGAGCAUGCGUCCCAUUAGCUAGAUGGUAAGGUAACGGCUUACCAUGGCUGCGAUGGGUAGGGGUCCUGAGAGGGAGAUCCCCCACACUGGUACUGAGACACGGACCAGACUCCUACGGGAGGCAGCAGUGAGGAAUAUUGGACAAUGGGCGCAAGCCUGAUCCAGCCAUGCCGCGUGCAGGAUGACGGUCCUAUGGAUUGUAAACUGCUUUUAUACAGGAAGAAACACUCCGACGUGUCGGAGCUUGACGGUACUGUAAGAAUAAGGAUCGGCUAACUCCGU
rnacentral:rRNA from 1 species